rnacentral:rRNA from 1 species
CCACACCAUGGAAGCUGAUAUCGGCAGAAGACGUUGCGCCAACCGCAAGGAGGCAGACGUCCAAGCCGCUGUUGAUGACUGGGGUG